UUUUUUUUUUUUUUUUUAAUAUUGAAGGCCUCAUCUGACUAGACAGGAAAGAAUAUCCUGUAACGAUUCCUUUUUGCCAGGGUCCUUUGCUCUCAGCAAAACAGUUAGUUUCUGUUUCUUAGGCCUUCCUGUGGAAACCCUACCGUUUCCUGGCAUCAGUGCCCACUGAGAGAACAAGUUCACGUUUGUUCUUCCCCGAGCAGAGAGAAUGUGUGAGCUGGAUUCUUCAGAGGAGGAGCUGAAGCUGUCCCCGAGCCACAUGUUAGGUGGUUGGGAGGCCCAGAUGGUUUCUUUUGUUCCCCUGUUAGAGAGCAGCUCAUCCCAUACAGGCGCCGUCCUGUUCAGCUCCAGUUCACCAGGAGUCAUUUCCUGUCCUACUUAGUGUCCACUGCCUGCUUGGGCAUUCUUCCUGUGGUUUCAUUUGUUUGAUUCAGCUCUUUUCUAAAGAAACAUUUUUAAUUAUGUGUAUGUACAUCUUUGUACAAGUGCCCUAAGGAGGUCAGAGGAGUCCCAUCAUCCCCUGGGAGCUGGGUUAAAGCCUGAUGUGGGUGCUGGGAACUGAACUUGGAUCCUCCUAAGUCUCUCCAGCCCCAGAACUGCGUGUGUGUGUGUGUGUGUGUGUGUGUGUGUGUGUGUGUGUGUGUGUGUGUGUGAGAGAGAGAGAGAGAGAGAGAGAGAGAGAGAGAGAGUCUCAUUGUAUAGAUGAGGCUGGGGGAGGGGGCAGUGGAGGCUGGGGGACAACCUGUGAGACUCUCUUCUCUCCUUCCACCAUUGGCUCCCAAGGGUUAAGCUCACCUCAUUAGGCUUGACAGCCAGCACUUGUCACCACUGCUCUACUGCACUGCCCUGGCCCUGAUCUUGAGCUUCUGGUCCGUCUGUCCCAGCCUCCCCAGUCCUGGGACUGCACGUGUUAGCCACCGUAUGGUGCAUGAUACAUCUCUAGCGUAUGAAUUACAGUGACAGAUUUAAGAUUCUUUUCAUUGACGAAGUAUAGAAGAAUUUCACACAAGCUCCUGAAGAUUUAAAUCAUUGUCAUUUAUUAACUAGCCUUGCAGGGGGAAACUUCAAUAGAUUUCAAUGCAACUAGAACAAUAGGUUGUUGUUGCCUUGAACCCAAGAUCCUUCCACCUCAGCUUCUGGAGUACUGGCACCACAGGCUUUCACUACCGUGAGAAAUCUGUCAGGAUGUGUGCGCCACUUGAGUGUGCUUCGUCCCUUUGGAAAAGCCGGGCCGAUGUCAUUACCUUCACUUCAUGGAUAGGAACUUAGAAAGCGGGGCCUGGCGGUGUUUGUUCCUGUCAGUAUCUAUCAUUCACGGUGCUGAGGCAAGAGAACUGCAGCCCAGGAGUUUAAACCCAGCCUGGAUAAUAUAGGGAGACUGUCUCAAAAAAUAAAAAAUAA
rnacentral:lncRNA from 1 species